AGGGUUUCAAGUUUCACUUUGAAUUUCUCUUUCUCCGGUGAAUCUCGCCGCCGCCGCCGCCGCCGCCGCCGCUGCCGCUGCUCGACCGUUCCUCACGCCCUCUGCUCUCACCGUUUCAGGUAUUCCUUCUCUCUUACUCGUUCUCUCUCCCCUUGCCAUCUACGUUCUCCCGAUCUCCCUCCACCCCCUGCUCUCGUUGCGGCGCCGCGGAAUCGCCGCUGCGUAUCCUUGCUAUGGUAUCCUCAUCGCUGCUCCUGUCGAAAGCUCGCGGCAGUUCGGCAGUCGCCGAGGAAAUCUCGGCUGCGGCGGGCGAUGAGAGCGUGAUUCGGGAAGAUAAGCUGCGGAGCACAAGGAAUCAUCGGCGACAUA
rnacentral:lncRNA from 1 species